rnacentral:rRNA from 1 species
AUGGCAGCUCCGAAUACCUACGCCGUCCAUCUCUCCUCGGAGACCCACAAGAUCGAGGCCUGGUGCGAAUCGGACGAGGCUUUGGCUAAGCAACUGCAGGAGGAGGAGGAUUCGCUCGCUACAAGGGAAUUUGCCGGCAGCGUGUCCUUGGAACCAUCAUCACCAGCUGUUGAGUAUAGGCCUGCCAAUAAUGCAGCUCAGGUGGCGACAGAAGAUAAUGUCGAUCCGGAUAAUAUGUCAUACGAGCAACUGCAAGCAAUCGGUGAAGAAGUAGGAACUCAGUCCAGAGGAUUAUCUGAUGACCUGAUCAGCUACCUGGAGCCUUUUAGGAACAAAUGUAACUUCUUCUCCUGCAAAAAGAAUACCGAUGAAUGUGUGAUCUGCAAAUCGAGCUAUAAAAGCCUACAGAAGUUGAUAAGAUUGCCCUGCAGCCAUUGUUACCAUGCAAAUUGCAUAACUCGCUGGCUUAAGAUUAACAAGGCAUGCCCAGUCUGCAAUGAGGAGGUAUUCGGUUAA